UGAGUUUUGAUCCUGGCUCAGGACGAACGCUGGCGGCGUGCUUAACACAUGCAAGUCGAACGAUGAACCACUUCGGUGGGGAUUAGUGGCGAACGGGUGAGUAACACGUGGGCAAUCUGCCCUGCACUCUGGGACAAGCCCUGGAAACGGGGUCUAAUACCGGAUACUGAUCCGCUUGGGCAUCCAAGUGGUUCGAAAGCUCCGGCGGUGCAGGAUGAGCCCGCGGCCUAUCAGCUUGUUGGUGAGGUAAUGGCUCACCAAGGCGACGACGGGUAGCCGGCCUGAGAGGGCGACCGGCCACACUGGGACUGAGACACGGCCCAGACUCCUACGGGAGGCAGCAGUGGGGAAUAUUGCACAAUGGGCGAAAGCCUGAUGCAGCGACGCCGCGUGAGGGAUGACGGCCUUCGGGUUGUAAACCUCUUUCAGCAGGGAAGAAGCGAGAGUGACGGUACCUGCAGAAGAAGCGCCGGCUAACUACGUGCCAGCAGCCGCGGUAAUACGUAGGGCGCAAGCGUUGUCCGGAAUUAUUGGGCGUAAAGAGCUCGUAGGCGGCUUGUCACGUCGGUUGUGAAAGCCCGGGGCUUAACCCCGGGUCUGCAGUCGAUACGGGCAGGCUAGAGUUCGGUAGGGGAGAUCGGAAUUCCUGGUGUAGCGGUGAAAUGCGCAGAUAUCAGGAGGAACACCGGUGGCGAAGGCGGAUCUCUGGGCCGAUACUGACGCUGAGGAGCGAAAGCGUGGGGAGCGAACAGGAUUAGAUACCCUGGUAGUCCACGCCGUAAACGGUGGGCACUAGGUGUGGGCAACAUUCCACGUUGUCCGUGCCGCAGCUAACGCAUUAAGUGCCCCGCCGGGGAGACGGCGCAAGGAU
rnacentral:rRNA from 1 species